rnacentral:rRNA from 1 species
GAUGAACGCUGGCGGCGUGCCUAAUACAUGCAAGUCGAGCGAACAGACGAGGAGCUUGCUCCUCUGACGUUAGCGGCGGACGGGUGAGUAACACGUGGAUAACCUACCUAUAAGACUGGGAUAACUUCGGGGAACCGGAGCUAAUACCGGAUAAUAUAUUGAACCGCAUGGUUCAAUAGAGAAAGACGGUUUUGCUGUGACUUGUAGAUGGAUCCGCGCCGCAUUAGCUAGUUGGUAAGGUAACGGCCUACCAAGGCAACGAUGCGUAGCCGACCUGAGAGGGUGAUCGGCCACACUGGAACUGAGACACGGUCCAGACUCCUACGGGAGGUAGCAGUAGGGAAUCUUCCGCAAUGGGCGAAAGCCUGACGGAGCAACGCCGCGUGAGUGAUGAAGGUCUUCGGAUCGUAAAACUCUGUUAUUAGGGAAGAACAAAUGUGUAAGUAACUAUGCACGUCUUGACGGUACCUAAUCAGAAAGCAACGGCUAACUACGUG